AAAUUCCCCCAAAUUCUUUCACAACAUCUAAUUUUGAUUUUGCAAUAAAUAGUGAAAUUCUUCAUUAUCUUCCCCGCGGCCAAAAUUGAAGGAAAAAACACUCUCUCUCUCUCUAAUGGCGGCGAUUGUAGAGAGAGAAGAACCACUAACCCCCGCCGGCCGCCUCUUUGUGCAGCCGCAAAUGGAACAAAUUAUCAACGUCGCCAUCGCCGUCGAAUCUCCGCUUGACGUCCACGCCUUCAAAGCCGAAGUCGAAAGCUCAGUGAUGGUCAAGCUCCCCAGAUUUCGCAGCCUUUUGGUACGGAGCUCCGGCGGCCGCGAGUACUGGCGCAGAGUCCAAAUCGACGUCAGCCGCCACGUCAUUCCCCACCACCACUCCGUCUCCGACGACCCUGCCGUCUCCGACGAAGACGCCGUCAACGAUUUCAUGGCGGAUCUCUGCGUCUCCUCGCCCCUCCCCACCGACAAACCCCUGUGGGAGGUCCACCUGCUCGCGGCGCACAGAACCGUCGUUUUCCGCUUCCACCACGCGCUCGGCGACGGAAUCUCGCUGAUGUCGUUGUUGCUCUCGUGCUGCAGGAGAGCCGACGAUCCGACGCAGACGCCGACUGCCGGCGCCGCCGGCGCGGCGGCGAAGCCGCCGAGGAGGAGGUGGAGUGCGUGGAAGCUGGCGAAGCUAAUUUGGUAUACUUUGGUUUAUGUUGUGGAGUUUACGCUGAGAGCGCUGUGGUUGAGCGACGAGAAGACCGCCGUGAGCGGCGGCGCCGGGGUGGAGCUCUGGCCGCGGAGGCUGGCGACGGCGAGGUUUAGGCUUGAGGAUAUGAAGACUGUCAAACGAGCUGUUGCCGAUGCGACAAUUAAUGAUGUUCUAUUUGGGAUAGUCUCAUGUGGCCUCUCCAGAUACUUAGACAUCAAAUCACCAAAAGCUCUGCCCGAGGGGCUUCGAAUCACCGGUCUUUCCAUGGUCAAUUUGAGACCACAAUCCGGAUUGCAGGAUAUAUCGAAGCUAUUGGAUAAAAGUAAUUCCGGAACUCGGUGGGGCAACAAAUUUGGGAUGCUUCUCUUGCCUAUUUAUUAUCAUAAAUGUGAUUCUAAUCCGAUCGGAUUCGUGAAGAGAGCCAAAUCAAUGAUCGAUAAGAAAAAGCUUUCUUUAGAGGCACCCUUCUCUUACAAAGUUGGCAACUUAAUCAUGUCUCUUCUUGGACCAAAGUUCUCAAUUACCGAAUUGUAUGUAAUACAACGUUUACGAUAUCUAACAUUAUCGGCCCGGGAGAGAAGAUAAGAAUUGUUGGCAAUCCCGUGAAGCACAUUAGAGUCACGUCAAGCUGCCUACCACACGCAAUCACAAUGCAUAUGGUGAGUUACGCGGGAGUGGCGGAUCUGCAAAUUUUGGCUGCAAAGAAAUAAUCGCAGAUCCCAAAGUUUUGGCAAAGUGUUUCGAAGAUGCCUUGUUUGAAAUGAAGGAGUUUGCAGCUACCUCUAGCGAUUCUUGAAAGUUAUAUAUAUAUAUUCGCUCGUAUAUGAUAAUGUUAGUUUGUUUUUUGUUAUAUUUUUGUUAUAUGUAUAUAUUCUAUGCAAAGGGCUCGUUAGUUACGUCUAAGAAACGAAUAAUUCGGGAUUUUAGAA